rnacentral:tRNA from 1 species
GCGGGUGUCGUAUAAUGGUUCAUUACACGUGCUUGCCAAGCACGAGACGGCGGUUCGAUUCCGCUCACCCGCUCAA